UACGUAGGGGGCAAGCGUUGUCCGGAUUUAUUGGGCGUAAAGAGCGUGUAGGCGGCCAGACAGGUCCGUUGUGAAAACUGGAGGCUCAACCUCCAGACGUCGAUGGAAACCGUCUGGCUAGAGUCCGGAAGAGGAGAGUGGAACUGCGAGUGUAGAGGUGAAAUUCGUAGAUAUUCACAAGAACACCAGUGGCGAAGGCGGCUCACUGGCCCGGUACUGACGCUGAGACGCGAAAGCGUGGGGAGCAAACAGG
rnacentral:rRNA from 1 species